rnacentral:rRNA from 1 species
CCCUUAGAUGUUCUGGGCUGCACGCGCGCUACACUGAUGCGCUCAACGAGUUUAUGACCUUGCCCGGAAGGGUUGGGUAAUCUUUUCAAAACGCAUCGUGAUGGGGAUAGAUUAUUGCAAUUAUUAAUCUUCAACGAGGAAUUCCUAGUAAGCGCGAGUCAUCAGCUCGUGCUGAUUACGUCCCUGCCCUUUGUACACACCGCCCGUCGCACCUACCGAUUGAAUGGUCCGGUGAAGCCUCCGGAUUGGCGCGCACCUCGGUGCCGCCGAGAAGUUGGCUAAACCUUACCAUUUAGAGGAAGGUGAAGUCGUAACA